ACAAAGGGCAGGCCGCAGGGUGCGACAGGGCUCCCCGCCCGGAGCUGAGACGUGCCCCACCCCGAAGGCGCACAGCCACUGUGGAGGAGACGGGCACAAAGGAAGCCCUGGGGGCGCGGGGACCGAGAAGGAGGGAAUGAAUAGCCUCUGGAAUGCGCCCGAGCGUCAGGCUUGAUAAAACCUUUCCCCGGGCAGCAUUUCCUUCUACCCGCUCUUCUGAAGCUCAAGUCAGUUAAGCUAGGGGCAGAUGUAUUUAUACCACGUGGAGGCUUUUGAUGCAUGUUGCCAAACAGAAGGUCCACCAGUUUACACUUGUUCUCUGCGGGAAGUAGUCCUUGCCUUUAUGCCAUGGAGCAAACAAUGCCAAUUUAAGCAUAUCUGCGAGAGAAACUAUGAUGCUAUCAGGCCAGUGGAAGGGACAGCUGAACAGGUAGAGAAAGGCAGACUGCCAUGUGCAGCUCCUCAUGUGUCUGGAGCCUUGGAAGCUGACUUGCCUACUUCCUCCUCCAUAUGGAUCUCAGGAGCUUGUAUGGAGGUUCUAUCGGGGGCUCAGCUACCUGGAUACCCUUGACCAAAGAACCAUCCUCCUCCAUUAGGGUAGGCCAAUCUCACUUCAGAAUAAUCUAAAUUAAAUAGUAGAAAAUCUUAUCUAAUAGUAUAGUACAACAUCACUAAGAAAGGCUCAAACAAAUUCCACAAUGGCUGAAUAUUAGCAAAUGUGUUACUGCAAACCAGGGGCUCCUUGAGGAGAACAAGUAGGCUUGGUGCUCAGUCCCAGGCCCUCUAGCUAUGCUGGCAUCUGGGUUUGUCCUUACCCACUCUUCUUUCUCCAGAAACUUAGGGCUACAGCCUUCUUGGCUAGGGACCUCCCCUGGGGUAAGCCAAGCUGCUGAGAGCCUCUAAUAGGUCCCAGGCCUUGGACCCUGGGAAAGGAAACCAAAAUCCAAGAAUGGGAGAUGGAGAAAAUAAAAAAAGAAAGAAAGCAUCUUAGAUAUUAAGAGAAUGGGUAGAACUCUUCCUGUACCCAAUAAUAAUGAUGAUGGUGAUGAUGAUGAUGAUGAUGAUAAUAAUAAUAAUAAUAGAGGGGGUGAGAAGUACUCGGGAAGAGGGAUGCUCAGGUGAACAUAGGUGCACAGACUCUGAGGAAAGGGAGCAGCUUCUGACAGGUGGGUGUCCAGAGCACCAGUUCAGGCAGCUUCCCAGGGAAACACAUGAUGCUAAGACCAGAGCUUGGGAAAGACUGCAAUCAUGACAUUAUCUUAUUAAGAUGAUAUAGCAUCUGGGGGUAUAGCUCAGGGGUAGAGCAUUUGACUGCAGAUCAAGAGGUCCCUGGUUCAAAUCCAGGUGCCCCCUGUGUCAUUUGGCUUUUACUCCAGUAGAAGUAUAGCUCCUUGUCAUCCUGCAGGCCCAGCCUCAUGGAAUCUAAAUCUCCAAGACAGGGGUAGAGACUUAAGAUUCCUUUUAUAACAUUUCUUGUGGGUUUCAUUUUUUACCUCCUCAGCCAUACUCAUUUGCUGGAGGGGGCAGAGGAAGCCUGUCCUAGGUUUUCUCUGUGUUUCCCUGGUGCCUAAUUAUUACCAUCCUGAUUUUAUUUGUUUAUACCAAGCUUGCUUCAAAAAACUAGGAUCUGAGGCAGCUUGCAAUAAAAGUCCAACUAAUCAAGCAAGUAUAAAAAAUCAAGGGCUGACUUAUAUGAGGCAGUCAAAAUCAUAGAGACAGAAAGAAGGACAGGUGCCAGGGGCUGAAAGUGAAUGAAGAGUUACUGAUUAAUGGGGACAGAGUUUCAGUUUGGGAAGAUGAAAAAGUUCUGGAGAUGGAUAGUGGUGA